GGUGCUAUAGUGUAGUGGUCAUCACUCGGGAUUUUGAUAGAUGACUGCGGUUACAACCUUUCCCGAAACCCAGGUUCGAACCCUGGUAGCACCU